AAAUYGCAUAUAAAAUUGAGGAACUUUAAAUACAAAUAACUCGUAAACGGUAAGUCUGAGAAGGGUAUAUGUGUAUAAAUUUUUUAAUCGAGAGAUUAUCCUCUUUCRGAUUAUACCCUUAAAUCGCAGCGCUAAAGGAAUCGUAAUCGUGCCAUUAUUUAUAUAAUAUUAUGCACUUUUUAUGCUCUUACACUUCAUUACAUUGUUUCUUUAUAUUUAUUUUUCAGUGAUUAUUUAGUUAUUUGCUUAAAAUAAGCAUUUUAUAUUUUACACAAUUUUGAUUCCAUGCAUAAUAACAAAAGUAUUCCGUGUUGACAGAUAAUAAGUGUUGCCAUAAUUACACAUUUAUCAAACGAUUAAAAAUUAAUAAAAAAUAGGAUUAUACCCCAAAUACAUAAAUCAUUGGCCUCUUGAUAUAUCAUAAUGAUAUGAUCGGCCUGGGUUUGUUUUUUUUUGAAGCGCGGCCGAAGGCCGCCAUUGCAGAAAGAAUUGGGACACGAAUGGACUAAUGUUUAUCCUGGUGUUGGAUCGGAAAGGGUUUUUUAAGCGUGGCCGAAGGCUGCCAAUGCACAAAGGGCGGAGAGUCGAAGGCCACUGGGUUCUUUGGAUGGUUGAGGAUGGGAAUGACGACCUUAAGCUAGAGGUAUAUUCCGGCAAUGUCAGGUCUGCUGAGGUGCUCAUACCUUUGAUAUAGAAGCACGUAGCGAAAGGCAGUAUUAUAUGGACUGAUUGCUUGAAGGCAUACGACUGUCUAUCCAGUCACGRGUAUGAGCACCGAAGGGCUAAUCACAGCGA